rnacentral:lncRNA from 1 species
UAAUUUCUUGUGUGAACUUGAAAGGACUUAUAAUAGGUGUAGGCAUUGUCCAACUGAACAUGGCAAAGAUGCGAACUUCGAAUAAGAAUAUAAAAAAAAGUAGAAGAUAGCAAUUGGAACCUAACUCGUUCGGUUCUGAAAAAAAUAAACUGUGUAAUCGGAAAUUUGUGUAAUUUGAGAUAUGUAAACUAUGUAAUAUAAAAAUUGUUUUAGUAUUGCGGAGCAGUCCAAAUGGCAGCAGCACCCGCGUCCUCACCAGCUUAGACAGGGCUCCCAUGUCCCCGCCUACUGCAGAUGCACUUGAUACCCGUGUCGGUGCGUAGCGGAACCGAGACUACCACGUCCUCGACAGUGGCGGGAAACUCACGCUUCUUCCCAUACAUAAUCCUGUUGUAUGAACCAACCAUCAAGAAACAUAAUAUCAAGUGAAUAAUUAGUUAACUUUUAUCCAAAUCUAUUCACGGUACAAGUCUUUACCUUAGCCUUUUCAGGAUCUCUAUAUGAUUGGGUUUGGUGCUUCACCUACUAUUCUCAUUGCCAAUCCUCCUCCUUAUGGUUAGUGGUCUCCUAAUUUCCAUGCCUUGCUCUAAACCCCUCAGUUUGCAAUUCUAUCUUGUUUGAGGCCAAACUUCUGUAUGUUCACAUGAGUAGUUAACAGGUAUCAUUAAACUAAGAAAGCAAUCACAAAAUCAUAGAAAGGAUAUAUUUCGGGAUACAUAUCAAGCUAGUCCUUUGUAACGACCAUAGCAAUUACUAUAUUUAGUCAGCAACUGAGGUAUAAGAGGACGAUAUAGGGGGAAAUAUCGCGAACUGCAAACACUAAAUACUCGAGUUUGUAUGAUAACAAUAGUGAUUCAUCCAUGUGUAAUGAAACUUCAAAGGUGUUAUCUAGAGAGAAAAUUAUUAGGUGUAGACCUCAAAUACAGAUACUGAAUAGUCAAGUUACCUGGCAUCAUAGUAAUCAAAUUCACAUAAUGAAAAUCAUGGAAGAAAGUUAAAGAGAAGUGCUUCCAUUAAGCACUGUAAUAUGAUAUAGUUGUGCAUGCCUGCUGUAUUUGGCUGCUGAACUACAGCUCCUCCUCCAUCCAUUUUAGAGUCCUCAUUCCUAAAAAUAAAAGAACAUGGUUAUUCUUUACGCAUGAAAAUCUGAUUGUUGUCGAAGGGGGAUUGGAAAUCACAGAUUAAUUCAGGAGCUAUUACUAAUAUAAAAUAAUAAGAAAAGAGAGAAUAUUGCAACUAUUAACAAAAGUAUUGUUAGGCCACAAAUUAAAUCUACUUAAAUUUUUAACACAUAUGGACACACACCCCAACUGCAAAAGAAAAACAAUAGUUGCUGCAGCUGAUUUUCGCACGGCAUCUAUGCAUAGAACAGAAGAAAAUUUUAGUUAGCGCACUUACUACUCAUUUCUCCUCAAACCGAAUAAAAGUCCAUUGAUGAUGGGCAUAUCUUUCCCUGAUUGAGAGGUUCAAAUUGUUGUAAAAAAAGAGAAAAUAGACUCACCUGAUUGAGCAUGAACGACUAAGAAAACAGCUGGAAAUACUCUAGGAAUAAGGGCACAAGCAUGGCGUUGUACAUGCAUGAUUUGUCCAGUUAUGGCAGGUGUUGUAACUUAUUCUGAAUUUAUGAAACUCAAAGACCAAGCUAAAAAAAUUCUUCCGAUCUAGAAAGCCCGACCUGUCUGAAAAUAAUUGAAAGAAAAAAAACAUAUGUAUCAGUACAGAGGGAGUUCUGUUUACAACUACACAUGGAAAACCUUUUGUUUUUUCUGAAUUCACCAAUCAGUGCUCGUCAUACUUAUUUGCACUCUUGAAGCUAAUCUCUUAAAGCCAAAAGUUGAGCACACUUUGUUGAUCAGGCACUACUGAAUGAUAUCGAACCUGAAACACCGCCACAAAGUCUCCCUUAGUAUCAUAGCCACACCACCUUUGAUGAAACAAAAAAAAUCACAGGAAUCAUGGAUCAGAACAACAAACAACAUUGAUCCUGCACCAAAUCGAACUCAUCGAAUGGUGUAAUCAGUGGCACCUGUACAUGUACAAACCAAUUAAAUUCGACUAAUAUAUGAUUUAUGCAAAAUUAUCAUAGAGAUCAAUAGAAAUAACUCACUUGAAGGACGAUACCUCAUUUGGGGAAAACAUCCUAACGGAGAUCAGUUUUAUCUGCGCUGUAAAACCUUGCCAGUCUAACACCAUGUUAUCAGUACUAUAAUGUGCAUGAUUUUUUUACUUAUUUCAUAUUUGAUACAUCAUCAACCAACCUUUCUCUACUUCCAUCAACUACUACAGAAUACUGCAAGAUGAAGGUUCCAUUUCAGUAUAGAAUAGAAAAUGAUUAUAAGAGAAGUAAGCUUCUCUUCAGAACAGAUCUAGGAAUUAAAAUAGUUAGAGAAGCCCUUUGCAAUGCACAUAUAGUCCCAAACCAAUCACUUAUUCUCCGUCCUCAAUUUGAAGAGCUAGUGCUCAAAUGAACUUAGUAAGUACCAUUCAAAUAUUUAUCAAGUUUCCACAACCUAUGUCUACAACUUCCCAUUUCAGGCUAAAUGUAGAAGAGUAGUGCUAACAUCUUGAGUAGUUGAGAAAAAAAUACGAGCAUGGCCUUCAGCACAUUGGCACCUAGGCAUAUUGAUAUGCCUGGCAGAAAGAAAUCAAGGACAAAAGAACCAGAUGAGAAGCCAGGGAGCAGCAGAUGUAUGUCUGACUCUAAUUAUCAAGACAAAGAUUAAUGCUAAUCUAACCUCAGGCAUGCUGCUGCUUGUGGAAGUUGUGUCCAAUUCACUGAUAUGUCUCUUUAAAAGUUUCAUAUGACCUUGUUAAGAGAGAAUAACUAUAUAACUUGAAUAAAUUGGCAGUUGUCUUCAGAAUAAAAAAAAAUGGUAACAGAAACCUUUAAACCAAGUUGUAGCUCAUAAUCAUCCAGCUCAUCAGACCAUCUAGUUGACGCUUUAAUCUGUUUUAAAACUUCC